rnacentral:tRNA from 1 species
GCCGGUUUAGCUCAGUGGUAGAGCGUCUGUCUCGUAAACAGAAGGCCGCAGGUUCGAACUCUGCAAUCGGCA